GUAGGGAAUGAUUCAUAAUCAUCUUUAUCAAAAAUUUCUUAUUGAGCUAACAUAUUCACCCUAUUCUUGUUGAUAUGAUCUAGCCUACAAUGUCAAAGAUAGGCAUCUAUGACAUCAUCUAUUCUAGGAUAUUUAUUUUAAAUAUACAUUACAUUAGGCCUAAAUACAACAUAGAUACCAUUAUUCAACUGUCCAUGUAAAAUUGUAACACCAUUCAAAAUAAUAUCACAAAAGUUUUUUUAUUAAUAUUUUAUAAUUGAAAUUAGCCAAAAGACCU
rnacentral:lncRNA from 1 species